CCUACGGGUGGCAGCAGUGGGGAAUAUUGGACAAUGGGCGAAAGCCUGAUCCAGCCAUGCCGCGUGUGUGAAGAAGGCCUUCGGGUUGUAAAGCACUUUCAGUGGGGAAGAAAGCCUUGGGGCUAAUACCCUCGAGGAAGGACAUCACCCACAGAAGAAGCACCGGCUAACUCCGUGCCAGCAGCCGCGGUAAUACGGAGGGUGCGAGCGUUAAUCGGAAUUACUGGGCGUAAAGCGCGCGUAGGCGGUCUGAUAAGCCGGUUGUGAAAGCCCCGGGCUCAACCUGGGAGCGGCAUCCAGAACUGUCAGGCUAGAGUGCAGGAGAGGAAGGUAGAAUUCCCGGUGUAGCGGUGAAAUGCGUAGAGAUCGGGAGGAAUACCAGUGGCGAAGGCGGCCUUCUGGACUGACACUGACGCUGAGGUGCGAAAGCGUGGGUAGCAAACAGGAUUAGAUACCCCGGUAGUC
rnacentral:rRNA from 1 species